AAGGUAUUGAAAUAAGAUUUUAAAUGAGUGCUAAGAGAAUGAUUAAACAAUUAAAAGCUUUCUUUAAUUGAAUAAUUGAAUUUAAUUUUUUAGUGCAAAAGCAAAAAUAAAAAUUAGGGACAAGAAGACCCUAUGAAUUUUUUAUUAAAUUUUAUAAAACUUUAUAUAAAGUUUAAUUUAAUUGGGGUGAUGGAAAAAGAAUAAAUAUCUUUUUUUUAAAGAAAAUUGGUUCCGUUUUUAGCGAUUAAAUGAAAAAAAUACUCUAGGGAUAAACAGCGUAAAA
rnacentral:rRNA from 1 species